AGCAUUGAAAUUGAUUCAGAGAUUUAAUUGAUUUUUAAAAAUUAUGUGUCCUGUUUUAUUCAAGUCCAAUUUCUUUGUUAUAUUUGUUCCCUUUAAGAACAAAGAAUGGUUUUGGGAACUAUUAAUAGCAUAUUGAUACUAAUUAAUUUAUCUAAGAACACAUACUUUGUACCUUACAGAUGUCAAUUGAAUUAAUAAAUAUGGUUUUAUGUCUAUGGAAGCUUCAGAAUGAUGAGGAAGGCUACUUUGCAAUCAAUGAUAUACGUCUUAACACAACUGCAGGUUUUAUAAGUGGACAUAUAUACUCUAUGCUUACUCAAAUUUGCAUAUGCAUUGUAUAAAAAAGGAGAAAGAUGGCUUUUCAUUUUGACCGGUGAUGAACUGGACUAAUUAUACUACACACCAGUGGCAUGGAAUCUUUAAGUUAAGGUGAAAAGGGUUGCAUUGGUGAGCUUCUUUUGUAUUUCUCUUGCCUUUCAAAGGGCACAAGACUAAGGAUGUAUACUUUUAUAAUGCCUGGUCUACAUGAGAUGGAGUUUCUACUAAUAAACAAUUAGAUGCUUGCAGUGCACACAAGACUGAGAUAGGGCUGAUGAAUAACAUUAUAUGUAAUAACAUUAUAACCUUAGUUCACCAAGUUCAAGGUCCUCAAUGUUUUUCUUUUAAUAUGUUUUAUUUAUUUAUUUAAAUGGAUGUAGUUUA